CCCCUGAUGAGACGUAGGGGGUACUCUCGCCGACCAAGGGCGAGGGCCGGAGAAUGUUAAACUUCAGCAAAACAAACAA
ncrna:unclassified sequences engA RNA